AGUGAACGCUGGCGGCAGGCCUAACACAUGCAAGUCGAACGGCAGCACAGUGGUAGCAAUACCAUGGGUGGCGAGUGGCGGACGGGUGAGGAAUACAUCGGAAUCUACCUUUUCGUGGGGGAUAACGUAGGGAAACUUACGCUAAUACCGCAUACGACCUUAGGGUGAAAGCGGAGGACCUUCGGGCUUCGCGCGGAUAGAUGAGCCGAUGUCGGAUUAGCUAGUUGGCGGGGUAAAGGCCCACCAAGGCGACGAUCCGUAGCUGGUCUGAGAGGAUGAUCAGCCACACUGGAACUGAGACACGGUCCAGACUCCUACGGGAGGCAGCAGUGGGGAAUAUUGGACAAUGGGCGCAAGCCUGAUCCAGCCAUGCCGCGUGGGUGAAGAAGGCCCUCGGGUUGUAAAGCCCUUUUGUUGGGAAAGAAAAGCAGCCGGUUAAUACCCGGUUGUUCUGACGGUACCCAAAGAAUAAGCACCGGCUAACUUCGUGCCAGCCGCCGCCGUAAGAC
rnacentral:rRNA from 1 species